rnacentral:rRNA from 1 species
ACUCCUACGGGAGGCAGCAGUGGGGAAUAUUGCACAAUGGGGGAAACCCUGAUGCAGCAACGCCGCGUGAGUGAUGACGGUCUUCGGAUUGUAAAGCUCUGUCUCCAGGGACGAUAAUGACGGUACCUGAGGAGGAAGCCACGGCUAACUACGUGCCAGCAGCCGCGGUAAU